rnacentral:rRNA from 1 species
AGGACGAACGCUGGCGGCGUGCCUCAUACAUGCAAGUGGAGCGACGAACCAGGAUUUAUCCUGGGGCAAAGCCGCGAACGGGUGAGUAACACGUGGGUUACCUGCCCCGAUGAUUGGGACAACCCGAGGAAAACUCGGGCUAAUACCAAAUGUGUUCUUGGUCGUGAUGACCAAGAAGAAAGGAAGCCUCGGCCUCCGCAUCGGGAUGGGCCCGCGGCCCAUUAGCUAGUUGGUGGGGUAAUGGCCUACCAAGGCGACGAUGGGUAGCUGGUCUGAGAGGACGAUCAGCCACACUGGGACUGAGACACGGCCCAGACUCCUACGGGAGGCAGCAGUAGGGAAUCUUGGACAAUGGGCGCAAGCCUGAUCCAGCCAUGCCGCGUGAGUGAAGAAGGCCUUCGGGUUGUAAAGCUCUUUCGGCAGGAACGAAAUGGUUCGUGCUAAUACCACGGACUGAUGACGGUACCUGAAGAAGAAGCACGGCUAACUACGUGCCAGCAG